rnacentral:rRNA from 2 species
GGGUUGUGAGGUUAAGCGACUAAGCGUACACGGUGGAUGCCCUGGCAGUCAGAGGCGAUGAAGGACGUGCUAAUCUGCGAUAAGCGUCGGUAAGGUGAUAUGAACCGUUAUAACCGGCGAUUUCCGAAUGGGGAAACCCAGUGUGAUCCGUCACACUAUCAUUAACUGAAUCCAUAGGUUAAUGAGGCGAACCGGGGGAACUGAAACAUCUAAGUACCCCGAGGAAAAGAAAUCAACCGAGAUUCCCCCAGUAGCGGCGAGCGAACGGGGAGGAGCCCAGAGCCUGAAUCAGUAUGUGUGUUAGUGGAAGCGUCUGGAAAGGCGUGCGAUACAGGGUGACAGCCCCGUACACAAAAAUGCACAUGCUGUGAGCUCGAUGAGUAGGGCGGGACACGUGGUAUCCUGUCUGAAUAUGGGGGGACCAUCCUCCAAGGCUAAAUACUCCUGACUGACCGAUAGUGAACCAGUACCGUGAGGGAAAGGCGAAAAGAACCCCGGCGAGGGGAGUGAAAAAGAACCUGAAACCGUGUACGUACAAGCAGUGGGAGCCUCUUUAUGGGGUGACUGCGUACCUUUUGUAUAAUGGGUCAGCGACUUAUAUUCUGUAGCAAGGUUAACCGAAUAGGGGAGCCGAAGGGAAACCGAGUCUUAACUGGGCGUUAAGUUGCAGGGUAUAGACCCGAAACCCGGUGAUCUAGCCAUGGGCAGGUUGAAGGUUGGGUAACACUAACUGGAGGACCGAACCGACUAAUGUUGAAAAAUUAGCGGAUGACUUGUGGCUGGGGGUGAAAGGCCAAUCAAACCGGGAGAUAGCUGGUUCUCCCCGAAAGCUAUUUAGGUAGCGCCUCGUGAAUUCAUCUCCGGGGGUAGAGCACUGUUUCGGCAAGGGGGUCAUCCCGACUUACCAACCCGAUGCAAACUGCGAAUACCGGAGAAUGUUAUCACGGGAGACACACGGCGGGUGCUAACGUCCGUCGUGAAGAGGGAAACAACCCAGACCGCCAGCUAAGGUCCCAAAGUCAUGGUUAAGUGGGAAACGAUGUGGGAAGGCCCAGACAGCCAGGAUGUUGGCUUAGAAGCAGCCAUCAUUUAAAGAAAGCGUAAUAGCUCACUGGUCGAGUCGGCCUGCGCGGAAGAUGUAACGGGGCUAAACCAUGCACCGAAGCUGCGGCAGCGACACUAUGUGUUGUUGGGUAGGGGAGCGUUCUGUAAGCCGUUGAAGGUGUGCUGUGAGGCAUGCUGGAGGUAUCAGAAGUGCGAAUGCUGACAUAAGUAACGAUAAAGCGGGUGAAAAGCCCGCUCGCCGGAAGACCAAGGGUUCCUGUCCAACGUUAAUCGGGGCAGGGUGAGUCGACCCCUAAGGCGAGGCCGAAAGGCGUAGUCGAUGGGAAACAGGUUAAUAUUCCUGUACUUGGUGUUACUGCGAAGGGGGGACGGAGAAGGCUAUGUUGGCCGGGCGACGGUUGUCCCGGUUUAAGCGUGUAGGCUGAUUUUCCAGGCAAAUCCGGAGAAUCAAGGCUGAGGCGUGAUGACGAGGCACUACGGUGCUGAAGCAACAAAUGCCCUGCUUCCAGGAAAAGCCUCUAAGCAUCAGGUAACAUCAAAUCGUACCCCAAACCGACACAGGUGGUCAGGUAGAGAAUACCAAGGCGCUUGAGAGAACUCGGGUGAAGGAACUAGGCAAAAUGGUGCCGUAACUUCGGGAGAAGGCACGCUGAUAUGUAGGUGAAGCGACUUGCUCGUGGAGCUGAAAUCAGUCGAAGAUACCAGCUGGCUGCAACUGUUUAUUAAAAACACAGCACUGUGCAAACACGAAAGUGGACGUAUACGGUGUGACGCCUGCCCGGUGCCGGAAGGUUAAUUGAUGGGGUCAGCCGCAAGGCGAAGCUCUUGAUCGAAGCCCCGGUAAACGGCGGCCGUAACUAUAACGGUCCUAAGGUAGCGAAAUUCCUUGUCGGGUAAGUUCCGACCUGCACGAAUGGCGUAAUGAUGGCCAGGCUGUCUCCACCCGAGACUCAGUGAAAUUGAACUCGCUGUGAAGAUGCAGUGUACCCGCGGCAAGACGGAAAGACCCCGUGAACCUUUACUAUAGCUUGACACUGAACAUUGAGCCUUGAUGUGUAGGAUAGGUGGGAGGCUUUGAAGUGUGGACGCCAGUCUGCAUGGAGCCGACCUUGAAAUACCACCCUUUAAUGUUUGAUGUUCUAACGUGGACCCGUGAUCCGGGUUGCGGACAGUGUCUGGUGGGUAGUUUGACUGGGGCGGUCUCCUCCUAAAGAGUAACGGAGGAGCACGAAGGUUGGCUAAUCCUGGUCGGACAUCAGGAGGUUAGUGCAAUGGCAUAAGCCAGCUUGACUGCGAGCGUGACGGCGCGAGCAGGUGCGAAAGCAGGUCAUAGUGAUCCGGUGGUUCUGAAUGGAAGGGCCAUCGCUCAACGGAUAAAAGGUACUCCGGGGAUAACAGGCUGAUACCGCCCAAGAGUUCAUAUCGACGGCGGUGUUUGGCACCUCGAUGUCGGCUCAUCACAUCCUGGGGCUGAAGUAGGUCCCAAGGGUAUGGCUGUUCGCCAUUUAAAGUGGUACGCGAGCUGGGUUUAGAACGUCGUGAGACAGUUCGGUCCCUAUCUGCCGUGGGCGCUGGAGAACUGAGGGGGGCUGCUCCUAGUACGAGAGGACCGGAGUGGACGCAUCACUGGUGUUCGGGUUGUCAUGCCAAUGGCACUGCCCGGUAGCUAAAUGCGGAAGAGAUAAGUGCUGAAAGCAUCUAAGCACGAAACUUGCCCCGAGAUGAGUUCUCCCUGAGACUUUAAGUCUCCUGAAGGAACGUUGAAGACGACGACGUUGAUAGGCCGGGUGUGUAAGCGCAGCGAUGCGUUGAGCUAACCGGUACUAAUGAACCGUGAGGCUUAACCUUACAACGCCGAAG